GUCACCUAAGAGGUUGGAGAGCACCUCCUCCUUGUCCGUCCCCAGAGUCCUCCGUCUGCCCCGCUUGAUGCCAAGCAGGCUCUUGAAGUCUGAGUCUCUGAGGUGGUGCAGACGGCAGGUGGGGAGGGAAGGGUCUGGGUGGGGAAGGGGCACCAGGUGCCCAGAGAAGCUCCAGCAGGGACCCCUCGCUGACCAUGGCUGCUGCUGUGAGCUCGUGCGCUGGUGGAGAUGACUGUCCUCAUGACGGUCCUUCUCCUCCUUCCCCCCCCCCACCCCUCUCCCCCAGCGAGGCUCCUCCAUCACGGCCCAACUGCCCGGAGCCUCUCCCAGCCCACCUUCUCUUCCUUCAGUUUCCGGCCUUGGGAGCUUGAGGCCCACCCCCCUUCCAGCCUCAAGGACUUCCCAGCUGUGCUCCGUCCUCAGUGCGGCCCCGAGUGCCCCCUGCAACCUCCCAUGCUGGCCCCCACCCCCAGUCACUGUCCCUAAUCCUCACCUGUCUCCCUAAGCUCUUGUUUCCUGCUGACUUGCCCCUCUCCCACCCAGCCCCCUGCCACCUCGCCUUGUACGUGAAGGUAAAGUUGUGAAGCUCAGUAGCGGGAGGACCCUCUGGUCCAGCACCUUCCCUGUGGCUUGGGGUUUUAUUCUGGGUUCGAUGGUCUUCCCCCCACCUGAACCUUUUCCUCACCAGCCAGCCCCUCCUCCCUGUUAGCAUUUUAACACACUCCUGGCUCAUUCAAUACAAUUUACUGGCAACACUCUUUCAACCCCAGGUCCCCCUGACUCCAGGGCCCUGUCACUGCCGCUCCUGACAGUUCAAUGUUCUGGAAAGUACCUGUUCCUCCUGGCAUUUCCCUCCCGCCCACCCAUUCAUGUCACGAACCAGCUUUCAGCCGUUCAGCUGGGUGCACCCCCCUUCACCCCCGCCCCAACCUAGCCUGUUCUUGAAGCUUCUGUGCAACCACUCGGCUGACACCAUUGCCGGCCUCCGACUGCAAAGCCCAGCAGACGCACCUCUGAGGCUCCCCUGAGACCUCCUCCAGCCCUGACUGGCCUGUCUCCUGGUUUUACUUCUGUCUCUUGAGCCGGUCUAUCUCAUCCUUCUCCUCCACGCUCCUUUUUCUCUGUUGAUCCUGCUGAAAGACUGGGGUCUCCCAGAAUUCUUCGCCUGCCAUUUCCCAAUUGUCCACUUCUCCUUGGGUUUAAAUGCUGUCACGAUGCUGAUGACUUCCCCCACUCCCACCAACACGGGCAUGGGCACCACCCCAGGGGUCUUUCCUGAGUGCCCCCUGUCAACAGGACUUCUCCUGUGAACAGGAGGGAAUGCCAGGAGGAACAGGUACUUUGCAGAACAGGGCAUCUCCUCCUGGCAAUCCCUUCAAACUGGACUCUUCCCUCACUCCCCUGGCUUGCUCCUACUCCUCUUAGUUCAUUCUCUGGGUCGAUGUUGUCUCUGGUCACCCAGCUGGCCAGCUCAACCAUGACCUGGGACCCAAGCCUGGCUCAUCCCGCCGGGGUAUCCGAUCGGUGCCUCCUGCCCGUCUCCAGUGGUUCCUUCCACGCGUCACCAGGCUCGGCCGACGCUACCUUCUUACUGUCGGUGGAGUUCAUCCUUCACUCUGAAGCCACUGUGUCCUCCAGACCCCCUCUGGCUUCUCUCGUGGGAGGUUCAGGGGGCCCCUGCCUCCCCACCCAUGCAUGCCAUCUCUGUCUCGUGUACGGUCCCCUCCCGCUCAUUCUCCAUGCAGCUGCCAGGAUGAACAUCUACAGGUGCAGCUCUGCUCGUGGCAAACUGCCACUUAAAAUUCUUCACAGCUUCCCCAAUGCCUUCAGGAUAAAGUCCAAACUCCUUAGCGGGGUGUUCAAGGCCCCCCCCGCCCCCACCAUGUCCCGUGGUCUGGCGGUGCCUGGGACCAGGAGACUUGUGCUCAAAUCUCAGGUGCACCUCUGCCGUGUGAUUUUGAGUAAGCUACUUAACCUCUGUGAGCCUCCGUGUUCUUGUGUGUCCAGGGCGCUCGGGUGCCGCGUCUGUCUAUCUCAAAGCAGGCACGCAGCCGCUGGUCCCCACCCCAGGGCCUGCGCCCUGCACUCUGCCUCUCGCCCACAGCAGUUUUUGCCCCCGGACAGCAGACGGCCUCGGCCCUAAUGCUGCCGCCCUGCAUCCUCCCCAGAAUGUCCACGGUGCUCUCAGGAAAGCCCUGGAUCCGUCCCCAUCCUUUUGUUUCCACUCACCGGCCACUCUCUGCAGGCCCUGUCCCAGGCCUGCACCUUCCUCUCCACUCCUGACGGGUCUUCUCAGAGAUCCCCUGUGGGAAGCACCUCCUGCGUGCACACACCUAGACUAGGGACUCUUCCCAAAUGCCCCAGGGGAGUCUAUCCAGGCCUUCCCCUCCCGCCUCCCUGGAGGGCUCUUGGCUGAGCCUCGUGGCAGCCCCCCAGAGGGUAGGGAUCAUGUCUUACUUAUCUUUAUAUCCCUAGUAUGGAGUGCAGCACCCCAGGCUGCCUGUAAACCUCUGUUGAAUGAACAAUUUCGACUUGGAUCGUCUCAGGGUGAUACUGGGAUCCUGACUGUAUUUAUCGGUGUAUGAUGCUCUCAUUCUUGUUUGUUUCUGCUCCUCUGGGGAGUAGGGGCCUGGGCGGCCCAUCAGAUUGUAACCUCCCUGAGGGCAGGCUCUCCAGUUGAGGGGUGCCCUGUGCAAUGAGUACACGGCGGGGAGCCUCAUCUGUAUUGCUGACCGCCCGGCUUCUGAGAGGAGGGAACUGUCACGUGGGGUGGCUGGGUCCUAGUCACACUGUGUGCAGAGCAAACGCGGUGGCCGUAGUGGGUCCUGGGCUGUCCCCGAGGUACUGGUUCAUGAGAGGUAGCAGUGGUGGUGGGGGCAGGGCACAUUCGGGAGCAGGAUGGCAGAGCCGAGGCCCGGAGGAAACACACAGUUUCCUGGGAGAGUGGUGGACAUUCGCACCGGGGAAUGUCAGGCAGGGACUCACUUUUUUUUUUUUGCCCAACUGGUUUGAGCUUUUGUUGUAAAGUGAGUUUUCAGGCCAGGUCAGAUCAUCACUGAAUGUCACUUCCCAUCAGCUGAACGGGUGAACUUGCCUGUGUGUAACGUGAUGGAUCCCUGGGGGCUUUCUUCUGCCUGAGGACCCAGGCCGAGCUGGCAGCCCUGGGCCUCAGAGGCGCCCUGGGCUCUGCAGCUUGCCACCAAACCCCCCACACCCCCCACACCCCUCCCACCCCUGAGUUGUUGCACUCCUGGGGUAUUUUGCUUUGAGGAGGAGGUGGACUGCAAGAAGGAUGCACAAGCCCCCCUAAACGUGGCCCUGCAGGAGCCUGCGGGCUGUCCCCUCUGGUCACUCUGGGAAGGUGGGCACCCUCCCCCCCCACCCCGGGCGCCCAGCACUGUGGUCUGGGGGGCUGAUCCCGGGGGAGGGAGGUGAAGCCCGCUGCUGUGCCGGUGUCCAUCUGGUGGACCCUGGCACCUCAGGGACAACUCUUGUUUGUACGCUCACUCUUUUCCCCGUUUGUGGGUGCGUGAUGAACGUGGAGGGCCAGGAGCCGGAGGGCCAUGAAAUUUGUGCCCCUAGCUCUGAACGCCUUUUUCCAUAUCAGAGCUUUCAUAAAGUUGGUCUUCUGAAAAUCUGCUGAGAAACGGGGUUGGGCCAGGUACUCAGCCGAGCUUCAGGAGUCAUGUUCAGUCUAAUGAACAUCUGUGCCUCUUGGUAGAGGGAAGACCUCAUUUGGGUCACUGGUCCUAAGACCGAUGUGAAUAAAAAUUCCUUUAUCUGCCCUCCAGGGCGACCCCUCAGCUGGGAGUGGGUAUGAGUGAGGGCAGGCGCUCCCAGCCCUCCUUGCUUAGGAGCUGGGUGUCUGGGCAUGAGGGAUGCCACGGAUCUGGGGACAAGCCCUCCUCCACAUGCAGUGAUAGAAACGAGCCGGUUGGGGAGGGUGGAGAGGGAAACAGGCAGCCGGUCCCAGGCAGAUGUCUUCUUGCAAGUCCGACUCUCGGCGUGAAGGUUCUGCUGUUGGCAGGUAACUAAACAGUGGGGUAUCUAAACAGAGGAGUGCCCACAUCGGGCAUCUGUAUUUACAGGCGCGGAGUCACUCCAAGAAGCCCCCGGUUGGUGGCUCCCCCAUACGCAGGCACACGGGAGAUCUCUGUCCCUCUCCCCUCCCUUGGGCCAGGCGUCUGGCUCGUGCUGUGCAGGCAGGUCAGAAAAAGAGUCCCCUGCAAGACAAAAAAAAAAAGCCCUCUCUGGAGGAGUUCUGCCAGCUGGGGUCACCAGGAUGCUUGCCCUAGAGUUCUGACGGCGACCUCUUGCCCCCAUUCUCUUCUCUGCCUGACAGAAGGCCUGAAGCUGUUCACAGAUUCUGGACACAAGCAACCGAGCAUGCAGCAGGGCUGUGAAUCAAACAGGGAUGGGGCACUGAGUCUGUCCAUUGAUGGACAGUGGCGGGGGGGACGGCCCCUCAGGAACUGGGCUGGCUGGGCCCGGGGACUCAGAGAAACCAGGCAGCAUUUUUAAGUAUAUUGGCAUGCCGUGUGCAUAUGUGUAUUGGCAGGAACUCACAGCUGUAGGGUCCGCCUAAUAUGUGACUGACCGUAGUCGGGACGGCAUCAUCCUCUGGUGGUGCUGGACAUGAGGAGGAAGUAGAAGGAAGGGUAUCCUGGGGGGCUGUAGCACUGCUGGGGUCCAUUUACAAGGCUUCCUGGUUGUACAAAAGUUAUUUAGAAAAAAAAAAAUCCACUUUCUAAUCUUGCUCCCGAAUAAUGAAAAGCAAUGAGCCUGGAAAUAGUUAGAGGAAGGCAUCAUAACUGGGCUGUGUCCAUUCAUUCAUUCAUUCAUUCACUCAUUCAUUCAUUCAUUCAACUAGUACCUAUGAGUACCUUUUGUGUGCCUGGCACUGGUCCAGGCAUGGAAGCGGGGGGACACACAGAAGGUCAGGCUUUGCUCUCUUGGGGCUCACCUCACCGUGGGGAAACUGAAAGGCAUGGCCAGGAUGUGGUGGAGCCCCUCUAGCACAGGCAGGGAGGUGGCUACACUUGUUCACUUUGGUUUGGACGUGGGGUGCUGAGUUCCCAGAUUUCCCUGUGUUGGAUAUUCUUCCGACCUCUUAAGUUUGGAAACAUGUCAUCUGAGCACUUUUGAUGGAGAUCUUUACAAGGACAUCCCCUCUGCCUUAGGAAGUGUAAUCCCCAGAACACAACCUCAUCUCUUUUCAAUGCUUUGGUCCUAAUCUCCCCUUCCCUUGAUUGUCCCCCAAUCUAUUUUUGCUCCCCUGCGGCCAUACCCCACUUGGCCAUUACCCUUUUGAAUUUAAGACUGACUGGAGGAAGGACAGAACUGAUUCUGUUCAAUGAGCGAGUUGAACCUUGCGUUCAACCCGAGGGUAAUGAGUUCUGGCUUGGUGGCUAGGGUGCUGCAGAGACAGGGUGAUGACUGUUCUCUUACUUUUCUGAGCAUUUUCCUUGCCUUAAGCCGUGUUCUGCAGACUCACAGUGGCUGGAUGUAACUUCUGGCUAAAGUAGGACAAAACUCUGUAAGAUACAGUGUCAAAGUGAGUGACAUGGUGUAUAAUACUUUGGGAGUUUACAGAAAAAAAAAAAAAAAAGAAGACAUUCCCCAGGGGCUGGCAAGUCCCAGGAAAGGUUUUAUGGAACAAAAAGUUAGCUAGGCCUUGAGGACGGGGACUACGGGCUUGGUGAGUUGAGGGGAGGCAGCCCCUUUAUCAAGAAGAAGGAGUAGGCUGAACACUGUGAUGGAGUCAGAGGGUCUUUGUGAUCUGCACACAUAACUCUUCAUGAGGUUCUAUGUGGUGUCAUGUCUUCCACCCACAGCCCAGGCAGGGAUUUAUUAUGCAGAUUCUAGGCCCCUCUGUGCUCCAUAGGCACCCAUGGGUGCCUUUGCUGGCUGUGGGUGCUGCCCAGAUUGUGGGCCUGAAUCACAGGACAGAGACUUGUGCCCCAGCUAUGACUCUGAUGACUCAAAAUGGGACAGCAUCAUGAAGCUUGCAUGUGUCUGUCAAAGGCAGAGGAGGAAGAGGGCUGGUUUCAUCCCCUCUUUGCUCUGUCAAAGGCCCAUCCCUUUCUCUGGAACCCAACUUGCCCUAAUAUUUCAGAAGGAUGGCAAAGUUGCACUUGAAAUCAGGAGCCACCAAUGGGUAUGAGCUCAUGUGGGUAUAUGUUAUUAGCAAAAAAGCAUGAAGGUCUUUUUUCAAUUUAUAAAAUCCCUGGGAAAUCUAGAAUAGGGAAAAGGGGAAAAAAAGCCUUGCAACUGGGCUUAAGACCCUUCUGUGUGAUGCCCAGUUGUGUAUUCACUUAGAGUAAGGUGAAAAGUGUCUUGAAAUCAGUCACUUUAAUGAGUCAACUAUUUUUCAAGUGGAGGAAGAUGUUAAACUUGGAGGCAUUAGGAUCCAUUCAUUCAUCCAACCACUCUUUACUGAGAGCAUAGCAUGUUUGGUUCAAGGUGAGGGAUUCGCAACAGUGGCCACCUCACCCUUCCAUCCCAAGGUCCCAGAGAUGACAGAAUAGAAUGAAUACUUAUAUAAAAUUACAUGAAAGAACAUAAAACAGUGCCAUAAAUUUAAAAAGCGGUGUCCUUGGUACAGAAGAAACUGAGGACUCCCCCAAGGAUGGAGAACACUCAAGAUCAGACUGAUGAGGGAAGCCACAACUCCAAUGUCCCUGCAGAAGAAUCACUAAAAGAUGCGUCCUGGGUCCAGAAGUGGAGGAUAAUGGGGUGGAGGGAGGUGGGAGUACAUGACAGGGUGAGGAGCUGAGGUCACCAGGAAGCUCAGGUAGGCAACUGAAUCCCUUCACACCUCCACAUCCGGCCUCUUCAGGGCAGGCAGUGGGCAGUGGAGACUGCUUGGGUACUUGGGUGAGAGAGCAGUGCUCCAGGGUGGCUGACACAAGCCCAGGAGGAAGAUUCCACUUCUCCCCUCCCUGCUCACUCACUCCGCCAACAGCAGGCACUUCCCCUUCACUUAGGUUGGAAAGGCUGCAGCCAAAGCUACCCUGUAGCACAUCCCACUUCCCACUGCCGACCUGACUUUGCAGUACAGAGAGGGGCAUGCCCCCAGGAUUCACCAAAAAGUUGUAGAAAACCAACUGUGAGAAAGAUGUACUGAUGGUAGAAAGCCAAAGUUCACACCGAAGCAGGUGCUAACAGUGCAAGCAGAAUGAGACUUUUCUGGAGCCUUUGGAAUAAUAAGUACCAUUAUCAGAUCUGUAAAAUGAACAGCAGGAGACCUUGGAAACGGAAGCUGUGCACAAGGACACAUAAGAAUCAACAGAUGGGCUGGACCGGCAAUGUGGAUGAGAGUGAAGAGUGACUGGUGAACUGGAGGGGUUCUCUGCAGCAUGUGGUCUAGAGGACCAUGAGAUGGAGAUACGGAUGGAAGCACUUGAGAGAGAGGUGGAUAACACAGUCUGUCCAGAAGAAGUUUCUGAGGGAUGGAAAGGAUGAGACACAAUAAGGAAGCUUACCAGGAGACAGAGAAGAAACCAUUGAAGACCAAAUUGCAAGAUGAAACAGAAUGACCAAGUGCCAAGAAGGGGGAGUGACAAACACCUGCAGCUAGAUAUAGCACAACAAUGAAGUUAGAGGAAAACUACUUAAAAAAGAAACAGAAACAAAAACUUCCCAGGGAGAGAGGGAAAAGAUGAUCUAAAGUGGAAGAAGGAUGAGAGGGGCAACAGACUUCUCAUUGGCUACACUAGAUGCAGAAAGGCAGUGGAACCACAUACAGGAACACUUCUGGGGUAGGGAAGACUGCAAGCCAGGAAACUGUCCCCAGUAACACUCUCCUUCGUGUGUGCAGGGGAAAGAGUGACUCUGGACGUUUAGGUCUCAAAGUGUUCACCAUCCUCUCUCUAAAAAAAAAAGUCAGAAAAAGGCAGAGGAAAAGUGGAAAUGGAGAACCUCCUUUUUUUUGCUGACUACCCACACUUCUGUCUCAGAAAGAGACAGUCACUUUGCUCCUGGUUGGAGAAGAGCAGACUGAGCAUCUCCCCAGGCCAGCUGGCUGGACAGAAGCGACUGUCAACAGCUCUAGAAGGUCUCAGCCUCCCCUUGUGUGGUCACCAUGGUAAAGUGUGCAACGGGGCCUGACACUGGCCAUCUCCUCUCAGCCCUCAUCCUAGGAUUUGCUUUUUUUCUCUGAAGCCUAAAGAGGCCUGGCUACCUAGCUGGGAUGGCCACCAUCCUGUGGAGUGUUUGCUUCUCUUUAUUCUCAAAUUCAUCCCAUAGGCGUUAAAGAAGGGAUGAGGCUGGGAGAGGCUCUCUCCCCCGGACUGAUGCUCAGGGCAGUAGUAGACACACUUGUGCAACCUUUGCAUACUGGAAGCUGUGCCAUGACAGCCUUAGAUUGCUCAGAACAUUAGGUGUAUGCCUGACUGAGCAGAGGGUCAUGGCCUGGACCUCUGGGAACUCUGCCUAGUGGCCUGGCAAUUUGAGAGUCUGCCAGCCCUGCUGGAGGAAGGAGAGCAAUCCAUUCGGAAGAAGCCCUGAUGGCCUUGGGAAGGAAUGAAGGAAGGAAAUAAAAAUUGCUGUCACAGGCUACAGACACAGAGUGGGAGGAUUCCGGCCAGAAACAGAAAGGGCCGGUUCCCCAGGAGGCUCAGAGGGACUCCGAGCCUGAGGAGGGGGCUGGGGCCUUGUCAGGUUUUGCCCGCAGCUUCUGCACGGCAUCCAGAACUGCGAGGUAGACAGGGAGACGACAGCCCUGCACGGCCAUCAGCCUCCGUCCAAGGGACACGGUCGACGUGGGCACGGGCGAGGCUCCCGGAAGCAAGUCCAAGGUUACCGGAUGCUGACGAAGGGGAGCAGAGACGAAGAAGGAGACUCCAUGAGAAUCAGCUCCAGGGGGACUGCUUCUGAUGGGAUGAAGUCUCUGGCUGGCCUUGCCAGCACCCCAGCAGGCUGUUGUCUGGACUAUCACCCAGGGCAGACACUGAGUACUUGGGACAAGACAUUAAUUUGAAUAUAUUUUGAAGCCAAGAAUCAUGAGACAUGUAGAAGUUCUAUCUGCAUGUACCUGGAUACAUACAUGAGUCAGAGAAGUGGUUUGAGGAUCAUCUGCUGCUGCGAAUGAUUCAUGUGUCAAAAAAGAUCACUUGAGACCUGAGGAGGUGUAACUGACCACAACCCUGCAGCCUGGGCUGUCAAGCUCGCUGGUUCCCCCACAGACCUCUGCCCGCUGACCGUAGAACCUCUUGGUAGCAUCCAAUCCAUGUUUGGCUGCCUAGACCUGGAAUCAACCUGGUUUCCUCUCAGGAAAAGCGCCCCACGCCUCAGCUAGUCUCGUGAACACUCUGCCAGGCUGUCGAGCUCUUGGUGUAGGAAUGCUUUUAAAACAAGGACUGUGACUUUUAUUUCAUGGAUCCUCCCCCUCAAGUAUCCAAUCCAGGGCUUUUAAUGCAGUAAGUAAAUAUUUUUGUACUUAACAUUGGAAUAGUGGAGGGGAAGGAAGACUGGAUUUUCACCUUCCAAGGGUUCAGGUUACACCCCAAGGAAUCACAUUUUUGAAAGGAUCUGGCAACACACAUUAAAAUGCUGCCACUUUUGAGAAACUAUCCUAUGGAAAUGAAAUGCCUGUUCAUAGGGGUGUAUGUAAAAGACCAUUUAUUGCAAAAUCGCUUAGAGUGACAAGAAAUAUCAGAGUGACUUAAAAAUCCAUCAGUAGGGUGCUGGUUGACAAAAGCAUGGUUUAUCCACAUAGUGAGACAUUUUGCAUAUUUUAAAAAUAAUAACUUCGAUUUACAUGUAAUAACCUGGAAAGGAGUCUCUAAGGUAAUAAUAUAGUGUUUAACAAAGAGAUCAA